rnacentral:rRNA from 1 species
CAUGCAAGUCGAGCGGUAACAGAAAGUAGCUUGCUACUUUGCUGACGAGCGGCGGACGGGUGAGUAAUGCUUGGGAACAUGCCUUGAGGUGGGGGACAACAGUUGGAAACGACUGCUAAUACCGCAUAAUGUCUACGGACCAAAGGGGGCUUCGGCUCUCGCCUUUAGAUUGGCCCAAGUGGGAUUAGCUAGUUGGUGAGGUAAUGGCUCACCAAGGCAACGAUCCCUAGCUGGUUUGAGAGGAUGAUCAGCCACACUGGAACUGAGACACGGUCCAGACUCCUACGGGAGGCAGCAGUGGGGAAUAUUGCACAAUGGGCGAAAGCCUGAUGCAGCCAUGCCGCGUGUGUGAAGAAGGCCUUCGGGUUGUAAAGCACUUUCAGUCAGGAGGAAAGGGUGUGAGUUAAUACCUCAUAUCUGUGACGUUACUGACAGAAGAAGCACCGGCUAACUCCGUGCCAGCAGCCGCGGUAAUACGGAGGGUGCGAGCGUUAAUCGGAAUUACUGGGCGUAAAGCGUACGCAGGCGGUUUGUUAAGCGAGAUGUGAAAGCCCCGGGCUCAACCUGGGAACUGCAUUUCGAACUGGCAAACUAGAGUGUGAUAGAGGGUGGUAGAAUUUCAGGUGUAGCGGUGAAAUGCGUAGAGAUCUGAAGGAAUACCGAUGGCGAAGGCAGCCACCUGGGUCAACACUGACGCUCAUGUACGAAAGCGUGGGGAGCAAACGGGAUUAGAUACCCCGGUAGUCCACGCCGUAAACGAUGUCUACUAGAAGCUCGGAACCUCGGUUCUGUUUUCAAAGCUAACGCAUUAAGUAGACCGCCUGGGGAGUACGGCCGCAGGUUAAAACUCA